rnacentral:snRNA from 1 species
AGAGAAUUUCCAAUCGGG